GCUUGGAGAGGGGUCAAUGUCCUAUCAGCUAGUUGGUAGGGUAAUGGCCUACCAAGGCUAAGACGGGUAGCCGGCCUGAGAGGGUGGUCGGCCACACUGGGACUGAGACACUGCCCAGACUCCUACGGGAGGCUGCGGUCGAGAAUCUUUCGCAAUGCCCGAAAGGGUGACGAAGCGACGCCGCGUGUGGGAAGAAGGCCUUCGGGUUGUAAACCACUGUCGGGAGUUAAGAAAUGUAAGGGUAUUAAUAGUAUCCUUACUUGACUAAGGCUCCGGAGGAAGCCACGGCUAACUCUGUGCCAGCAGCCGCGGUAAUACAGAGGCGGCAAGCGUUGUUCGGAAUUAUUGGGCGUAAAGAGCACGUAGGCGGCUUUGUAAGUCAGUUGUGAAAGCCUUCUGCUCAACGGAAGAACAGCAUCUGAUACUGCAAGGCUAGAGUGCGGAAGGG
rnacentral:rRNA from 1 species